UCUAAUACCGGAUACGACUUCCGGUGGCAUGUUCGGUGGGUUGAAAGCUCCGGCGGUGAAGGAUGAGCCCGCGGCCUAUCAGCUUGUUGGUGGGGUAAUGGCCUACCAAGGCGACGACGGG
rnacentral:rRNA from 1 species